AAAUUUUGGAUGGAGGGCCUGAGUCUCUCACACUCUCUGUCGACCCUUCUCCUUCCCCGGCAAGCUUCCCCCUGCUCUGAUGUGGAUCUCCUCCGAUGUCGGGCCUCCAGUGUCGCCGUCCUCUCCCUCACUCUCUGCCGACCCUUCUCCUUCCCCAGGCAAGCCCCCUGCUCCGAUGUCGGGCCUCCACUACCGUCGUCCUCUCCCUCUCUCCGUUUCUCGGUCGCGGCUCCUCAUUCACCCCUGGCAGUGGCCCUCCGCCGCAACUCGAGUCUGUCGUGACGCCACUACAGCCUGCUACUGCCUCUCCCUCUCGUCUGACUCGGACAUGGCCCCUCCCUCUCCUCUGCAUCCAGGCCAUGGCCCCUCCGCUGCAUCUUGAGCUUGCACUCAGCUGCGUCACAUCAUCUGUCAGCACGGAUCAAGGUCGCCCUUGCCGUGUCCCCUCCGCUUCUGCAGCUCAAGCUCGUGACGAGGAGCUCCAUUUGUGCAGGGGCACAUCCAUCGCUGCUCCAUCAAUGCAGGGGCACAGAUCUUGAGUUUUCUACUUUUUCGUUCUUAGCUACGAUCUGAUUUUCCCGGAAUUUGGUUUGAUCCCAAGCGAUGAUCUUUUGGGGAUGAGUUCGUGCUAGAUCGAGUUUAGUCUGUGCCAAGUUUGGAAACAUUUUGUUUUGUUUUUGUGGAGAUCAAAGCGAUUUUCUCUCUUGCGUCGGUCUCUGUUCUUUGUGUUCUUCGCAGGUUCUGGGACGAGCGCUCAGGUCUCGCUCACAGGUUGCAUCUUCGGUCACACCGACUCCGUGCACGAGCAGGCCUAAGUCGCCCCUCUCUUCUCUGUAGCUGUGCGCAUCCCCUCAGCUGGCGGUUCCUCUAUCCAGUUCUUGAUUCGUCGGUCUCUUUUCGCUGUGUGCAAGCAGUUAGGUUCCUGUCCGAGCUGUCUCUGUAGUUGCGUACCAGCGCUAAGCAUUUCAGCAUCGUGUGGGAGUUGGGAAGGGUGCUGUGAUGACAUGAAUGAGCAGCACAGUGCAGUAGUAGUCAAUCCCUUCCUUCUUUCUCUGGUGCGUGUUCAUCGAUUUACUUGUUGUGUUGUUUUGGUCCUGUGCAACUAAGAGCAGCUAGCGCCCCUUCCUGUGCCAUGACCAAUGUUGUCUUUGAGCUCUAAUUUUGAUUGGUCUUGCACUUGUCCAGAUGCUUCCAUUCAGUGCGCUGGGAGCAGCACUCACAUCACCGAGGGUAUGAACAGCAGUUCGCGUUAGUUGGAUUUUUGGGAGCAUCAGGUUUUUGCUAAUUACAUUUUCAAUCGGCAACCUAGCUGGUCUUUCUGUUGCCGCAGGGUGCAGGUUUGCAAUGUGUUCGAUUUAGAGCAGCAAGUGGACAUGGAUUCAGUUCUUGUGCAAUAUAAGCAACCUGUAAACUCAGCAGUUUGUGCAGUUUUAGUUCUUCUCUAAAUGAACGAAUUUUCAGGGAAUUUUUCAGUCUAUUUUUCACAGCUUUGAUUUUCUAUUUUGCGCGUAGCCUAUUUUUGUCUUUUUGAUAGAUUGGAAUGGACGUCAUAGCCACAUGCCAUCUAUUGAUUUGAGACUCUGGGUGCAGAGAAGUUGAAUCAUUUCUUUUUUUCAUGAUAUAUUUCAGUUUUCAUAAUUCUCAUCAAUGUUUCAAUAUAAAACUGCUCUAAACUACUAUAUUUGUCUUCUAUGGUACAUAUAGCAGACUUAAAGCGAUAUAGCGUGUUUAGCCCCUCCUUAUAUUUUCCUGGAUUUGUCACUGGUGAUACUUGAUAAUAGAUAGAGCUCUUUUUGUAUCAUAUCUCCAGUUAUUUGGCACUUUGUGUCAUACAGCAUGAGGAUUUGCAGAUGAUCCUAAUCUGAGUUUACUGAUCCUUGUUCUUUCAUCAUGCUUUAUUGCUUUGGGAAAAGAAAACCUAACGAAGGCAUUUAGACUAAAAUUUAGAAUUCAUAAUAUAAAUUUAAUAAGAAGAGCUCUUCCACCGUAUCAAUCUGAUCGUGGGCAGAUACAUUGGGCUAAAGUAACUUCUUAAUCUUUACUGACCAGUUUAAUAAUAAAGGCUGGCCUUGUAACUUGUAAGUUCUCCUGAGAUAGUUCUGCCUUCUGUUUCCUAGGCGUACAUUCUGAUUUGUUCUGGUAGAUUUUACUUUAUUAUGUAAAAGAGAUAAUCUCUAUUUUUGUUGGAAGCACAAUUGUUAUACCUUUCAACUAAAAAAUCAUAAUUAGACUAAAAUUUAGAUGGCAUGUGUUUUCAUAAACAACUUUUAUUGUCAUUUGCAGGCUAUUUUUGGUUUAGCAACAGAUAAUAACCUUUAUGUCAAUGAUGGUUAUGCCACCUCAAUAUUUAAAACUGGGAUUGGAAAGUCUAUCUUAGCAACUGAGAACUCAAGGGAAAGGGCACAAUUUAUCUUAGAGGCUAAAGAGGCUGUAAAACAAGGAAUCGCACGCACGCAGGAUAAUUCAUUAACCUGAAUGAUGGAUGACGUACCGUUGUCAGAGCCGCGGCGCUUACCGAGGUAGCGAUGCUGACGGCGUCGAGUAGCGAUGAUGGCACCGUCAAGGUCAGGGAAAGAACGAUGUGCUGCUGCCUUGAGGUCUAGGACGCAGAAGGCUGCCGGCGUCAGGGCGAUGCUGCCGGAGUCGAUGACCGGGAAAGGAUUGAUGGGGAGGCACGAUCGCCGCCUGUUCGCCGAGUGGUUGAUUGGCCCGGCUGUGCUCGAUGCCCUAGCCCGCGGCCGAGUCAUGGAUGCACUCGGUGUUGAGAAACUUAAAGGACUUGAACCAGGAUGCCAUUUCGAAAGGUGGCCAAACUGCGGGGGGUUGUUCCCCACUGGAAACGCGUGCUGGUGCUGUUGGGGGUACCGUGGUGGUUGUGGAGAUACGGAGGCGGAAUGCAAGGGAAUAUGCCAUCCUUGAAAAUGCAUCAACUUUUGUGUCACUAGGACAAUGAGGAAUAAUUCAAGAUGACGAAAAUCUAUUUGUGUCAGUUUCAGUUCAAUACCUCAAAUAUCAAUUGUGUAAUGCUUGGUGAUAACAUUAGAAUUCAUGAUUCUUCCCAA